rnacentral:ncRNA from 1 species
GAUGUCUAUUGCCAAGCCAGCUGUGAAGCGGGUUCGGAAAGUCACGGGUCUUAUUGUACACAACAAGACAGCCGGAUUGCGCCC